UACGGAGGGUGCGAGCGUUAAUCGGAAUUACUGGGCGUAAAGCGCACGCAGGCGGUUUGUUAAGCAAGAUGUGAAAGCCCCGGGCUCAACCUGGGAACUGCAUUUUGAACUGGCAGACUAGAGUCUUGGAGAGGGGGGUGGAAUUCCAGGUGUAGCGGUGAAAUGCGUAGAGAUCUGGAGGAACAUCAGUGGCGAAGGCGGCCUCCGCGCAAAGACUGACGCUCAUGUGCGAAAGUGUGGGUAGCGAACAGGAUUAGACGUACCGGAAGUC
rnacentral:rRNA from 1 species